rfam:TPA: Bos taurus chromosome 1, whole genome shotgun sequence.
UCCCUGGUGGCUCAGAUGGUAAAGCGUCUGCCUACAAUGCAGGAGACCCAGGUUCAAUCCCUGGGUUGGGAA